GCCGACUUCCAUGGCCACCGUCCUGCUGUCUUUAGUUACUAACGCCUUUUGUGGGGUCCGAUAUGCGUUGAUUUUGGCACUAUAACUUUACGACCGGUUCAUCCCGCAUCGCCAGUUCUGCUUACCAAAAAUGGCCCACUAAAGGCCUUUACUAUCUAUCCAUUUGCUACGUAGCACGCUAGCUAAUGGAAAACACACACAUUAACAGUUUGAGAAUAGGUUGAGAACGUUUCGAACCCAACGACUCUAAUCAUUCGCUUUACCGCAUGUGACUAUCGUUACUAGACCUCAGCUAUCCUUAGGGAAACUUCGAAAGGAACCAGCUACUAGAUGGUUCGAUUGGUCUUUCGCCCCUAUACAUAGUUCUGAUGAUCGAUUUGCACGUCAGAACCAUUGCGGACCUCCACCAGAGUUUCCCCUGGCUUCAUCCUUUCCAUGCAUAGUUCACCAUCUUUCGGGUUCCAGAGCACGAGCUACGAGUACGGCAACGCCAUUGCUGACGCAUAAUUGCCAUCUCCGAUUUGCCUAGACGCCUCUAUAUAUAUAUAUAUAUAUGCGCGUCUCAUCAUACAAACUUGAGUUGCCGAAACAACUCUCGAUUGCUUUCGUUAAGUUUGACGGAUUCUAUAAAAUGAACCUUUGCGUCACGCUCGUUCGCUGGACUCCUUGGUCC
rnacentral:rRNA from 1 species